rnacentral:rRNA from 1 species
GGGGAAUAUUGCACAAUGGAGGAAACUCUGAUGCAGCAACGCCGCGUGAGUGAUGAAGGUCUUCGGAUUGUAAAACUCUGUCUUAUGGGACGAUAAUGACGGUACCAUAGGAGGAAGCCACGGCUGACUACGUGCCAGCAGCCGCGGUAAUACGUAGGUGGCAAGCGUUGUCCGGAUUUACUGGGCGUAAAGGGUGCGCAGGCGGACAUUUAAGUGAGAUGUGAAAGACCCGGGCUUAACUUGGGCAGUGCAUUUCAAACUGGAUGUCUGGAGUGCAGGAGAGGAGAACGGAAUUCCUAGUGUAGCGGUGAAAUGCGUAGAGAUUAGGAAGAAUACCAGUGGCGAAGGCGGCUUUCUGGACUGUAACUGACGCUGAGGCAUGAAAGCGUGGGGAGCAAAC